rnacentral:miRNA from 1 species
AACAUCCUCAUUGACGGAAGGAAUCCCUUCCGAUUGAUGAGGUAUAACAAUCUCAUCGACCGGAAGGGAUUCCUUCCGGUCAAUGAGAUUUUU